UACGUAGGGUGCAAGCGUUGUCCGGAAUUAUUGGGCGUAAAGCGCGUGUAGGCGGUCCGGUAAGUCCGCUGUGAAAGUCGGGGGCUCAACCCUCGGAUGCCGGUGGAUACUGUCGGGCUUGAGUACGGAAGAGGCGAGUGGAAUUCCUGGUGUAGCGGUGAAAUGCGCAGAUACCAGGAGGAACACCAAUUGCGAAGGCAGCUCGCUGGGACGUUACUGACGCUGAGACGCGAAAGCGUGGGGAGCAAACAGG
rnacentral:rRNA from 1 species